rnacentral:rRNA from 1 species
GACGAACGCUGGCGGCGUGCCUAACACAUGCAAGUCUACGAGAAAAGGGUAGCAAUAUCCUGAGUAAAGUGGCGCACGGGUGAGUAACACGUAGGCAAUCUGCCUUCAGGACGGGAACAACCCCGAGAAAUCGAGGCUAAUACCCGAUAAUGCAGCGACACCGCAUGGUGACAGUUGUUAAAUGCCCGCAAGGGCGCCCGAAGAUGAGCCUGCGCCCCAUUAGGAGUUGGUGAGGUAACGGCCCACCAAGCCUACGAUGGGUAGCUGAUCUGAGAGGAUGAUCAGCCACACUGGAACUGAGACACGGUCCAGACUCCUACGGGAGGCAGCAGUGAGGAAUAUUGCGCAAUGGCCGAAAGGCUGACGCAGCGACGCCGCGUGAAGGAU